UGGGAAUACUGGUCCAGGAGGAGAAAAC
rnacentral:piRNA from 1 species